AACCUGCGGAAGGAUCAUUAG
rnacentral:rRNA from 3 species